rnacentral:tRNA from 1 species
AGGGUGUUAGUAUAGUGGUAUUAUGCCGGAUUCCAAAUCCGUGCGACUGGGGUUCGAAUCCUCAACGCCCUG